rnacentral:rRNA from 2 species
CGAACGAUGAAACUUAGUAGACUUCUUCGGAAAGACACUAAGCGGAUUAGUGGCGAACGGGUGAGUAACGCGUGAGUAACCUGCCUUACACAAGGGGAUAGCCUUUGGAAACGAAGAAUAAUACCCUAUAAAACCAUAAAAGCACAUGCUAGAAUGGUCAAAGUGAUAGCGGUGUAAGAUGGACUUGCGUCUGAUUAGCUAGUUGGUGAGAUAAAAGCUCACCAAGGCAACGAUCAGUAGCCGGCUUGAGAGAGUGUACGGCCACAUUGGGACUGAGACACGGCCCAGACUCCUACGGGAGGCAGCAGUGGGGAAUUUUGCACAAUGGGGGAAACCCUGAUGCAGCGACGCCGCGUGAUUUAGAAGGCCUUCGGGUUGUAAAAAUCUUUUGUAUAGGAAGAAAAUGACAGUACUAUACGAAUAAGGUCCGGCUAAUUACGUGCCAGCAGCCGCGGUAAUACGUAAGGACCGAGCGUUGUCCGGAAUCAUUGGGCGUAAAGGGUACGUAGGCGGCUAGAAAAGUUAGAAGUCAAAGGCUAUAGCUCAACUAUAGUAAGCUUCUAAAACUAUUUAGCUUGAGAAAUGGAAGGGAAAGUGGAAUUCCUAGUGUAGCGGUGGAAUGCGCAGAUAUUAGGAAGAAUACCGGUGGCGAAGGCGACUUUCU